CCGCUUCUGCUUCAUUACCUGUUUCCCAGCGCGUCGAAAUGACUGUGACUUAUGCGUAUUUGAUGUCAUAUCACAGCCAUUUUGACGAGUUUGGUGGACAGUGAAAGUCAUCGGCGCGAGA
rnacentral:pre_miRNA from 15 species